rnacentral:sRNA from 1 species
GAAAAUGCAAACUGAAACCUGGGAAACAGUGCAGUCCAAGUCAAGGUCCUUGUUGUACAGCACAGUGUGCAUUCAAGUCAAAGUCUGAGAAGUGUCGGGAUGAUUCAGACUGUGCAAGGGAAGGAAUAUGUAAUGGCUUCACAGCUCUCUGCCCAGCGUCUGACCCUAAACCAAACUUCACAGACUGUAAUAGGCAUACACAAGUGUGCAUUAAUGGGGUAAGCAUUUAACUAUGUGUUUUUAAAUUUAAUUUUAGAAAACUUAUUUUUCAGAAGAAUUAUUGAUGCUUAAAGCUACAUAGUUAAAGUAAUUAAUCUUGGGCUCUGUUUAAGUAAUAUUCCCUCACAAAACCAUGAAUAUAUUAUGUGGCAUUCAAUUAGCUACUAAUUUGUCUUUCAUCUUUCCAUGUACUUGUGGUUGAUAUUCUCUAGAGAAACAUAGUUGUACAACUCGGCAUGUGACUUGUCUAUAAUAUUUAAGUUUUAUAAAAUAAUAUUUCAGUAGCCUAAAUAAAAGAACUCUUUGGUCAUCUUCUCUGAAUAUGAAACCUUCAAAGCUUUUGUGGCUGAAUAUCACUUUGCUUUACAUGAAGAAAAUUUAAUUUUUCUUUGUUUAUAGAAGAGCCAUAAUAACCAACAUAAAAUCGAUCCUCAUCUAAUCUCUUUCUCUGCUUUUAUUUCAUUUUUUUAAGUUGCCAUUGCUUUAAAAGAUUUAUUCUUUCUUGGGUUUACUGUUUUUCAGAUUUUGU